GGGGAUGUCUUAAUUCGAUGGAAUUUGAUCAGAUAUCAAUGCCAACUAUCCUUAAAAUCAUGAUAUAAAACUGAUUUUAUUAAUCACAAAUGCCAAAUCAUUUGUUAGCAAAGCGAAAUCUGCAUUAGCUCGCGCUUUUGCAGUGCCCGCUUUUGCUCCUGUCGCUGUUUAAUGCAACGACCACUGGGCAGUUGACUCCUACUAAACUGUCUAGUGCCAAUAGUGGGAUAGGUAGCGGAUUUUGUUCGGAGUCCAUUACCAAAAACAAACGAACUUUGGUUUAGAUGGUUUUGCUUAUUUUUAGCAUCUAAAUUGAAUUUUAAAAUGAGCUAUAUUGGUAGAAAUUGAUAUUUUAUCCUUUCUAGACGCGGGUGCAAUACCCGCCAUCUCCACCA
rnacentral:tmRNA from 1 species